GCUACUAGCAUCUUGGCAAAGUUGGGGCAUUGUCAUGAGCUCUUCGUGAAAGAAACUCUUCAGAUACUGAGGUUCAGAAGUUCCUGGAAAGGGCCUUUGAGAGCAGCAGAAUACAGUGGAAAUGACACUGCGCAGUAGUUCCUAAGUUUCCUGGUUUCUCCUGGCAGGUUCCAUCUUGAAUUCUGUCACCAUGUGGCCUCACCUCAGAGCCACUUGGGCUUUCUCACCAAAGAACCCCAAAGAAAUCGCACAAGAAAGGCCCCAAGUUUUAAGAGUAAUUUAUUAGCAGCCACAGUCACUGGAAAAAGCAGCCUUCUCACUGGGCCCUGCACUCCCAGUACAGAUGCACAGGAAAGAGGAGAGAGGGAGAGCUGCGUGUGUCCCCCCAGCCUGCACACGCUGUUAAGCCUUUCUCACCCCAGCCCCACUCCCCACGUCCUGUUCUCUGUACCCGCCAUGCUUGCCCCCUCUACAUCAUCCCCACCCCAUGCCUGUCCUCCCAGGUCAAGCAGAGGCAGCUGCAUGUGGGGCCAAGGCAGAGGUCUGAAGAGUUUAGAAACUUCGC
rnacentral:lncRNA from 1 species